rnacentral:rRNA from 1 species
UACGGGGGGGGCAAGCGUUGUUCGGAAUUACUGGGCGUAAAGGGCUCGUAGGCGGCCAACUAAGUCAUACGUGAAAUCCCUCGGCUUAACCGGGGAACUGCGUCUGAUACUGGAUGGCUUGAGUUCGGGAGAGGGAUGCGGAAUUCCAGGUGUAGCAGUGAAAUGCGUAGAGAUCGGGAGGAACAUCUGUGGCGAAGGUGACUGCCUGGACCAGCACUGACACUGAGGCACGAAAGCGUGGGGAGCAAACAGG